UGUUGGUGGUUUGGAAGAGGGAUUCAUCAUUUCUGUUUCUGUUUCUUUUGCAGCUGGUGGGAUUUGUGUACGCCUGUUACGUUGUCAGUGUCUUUACAGAAGAAGAAGACAGCUGCCUGCAUAAAUGACAAGGAUCCAGUGACUGGAUAGGCGGGAAGCAUCCAUCCCCAUCCGAAACGCCAAAUGUUCGGCCGGGUACUGUUGGCAGCCAAGGAAUGGGAGAUGCCUUCCAGGCGAAAGAGCACGACGCCUCCAUGGGAUCCCUAUCCUCUACUUGGUGCUUCAGGCUUGCUGGCAUCUGCUCAGACAAUGCCUCAUUAGUGGAUUUCUAGGUUUUGUUAUGAAUGAAUGAGUAUUUCCUUCUUUCUCUCUCCUCCCCGCCCAAACCCUACCUUCACUCCGUUGGGAUUAUGAAGAGAACAUUUGGAAAAUGCAUAUUUGACUCUUUUCUUCCGUAUGACAAUGAAAUUGCAUCGCCUCUGGAUAUUUGGAGGCAUAAACUUUUGUUAUUAUCAGUGGACUACUUCUCACUCCCCUUUCAACCUCCUCACCUACCCUGAACCAUCUCAACUUUGUGGUUUCUAUUAAUGGACAAGCUGUUAAUUAAAAUUAUCUGUAUCUGGGA